rnacentral:lncRNA from 1 species
AUGCAAGGAGGUCAGGAGGAGGUGUGCUUGCUGGAUAAGAAUACAUUCUUCUUCUUCUUUUCUUCUUCAAUACAACUAAAAACCACCAAAAAGCCUUAAGAUGCCAAAUGCGAGGUAAUGGAGGCUAGGCUUGCUUUAGGUCGAAUGUGAGGUGAUGGAGGUUGAGGGUGAGAAAACCAUAACCAUCACAUCCCUUAAAUGGAGUUUAAAACACGAAAAAUUUAGCUUUUGCAUGUUGGCCACUGCCACGUCGUGGCGUCCAAAAUGAUGUGCGUUCUCAACAGAUGAGGCCAACUCGGCGAGUCGGCCAAGUGGACUCGGCGAGUCGCCCCUAAAAAUUAGGGUUUUCUUUUGUUUCUUGGCCUUCAAAACUUUGGGUGUUACACUUUUAUCUUUCUUAUAUUUUUUCGUUAGUAGGUAUCGUUUGGUAAGUGAUAUGGAGCCUAGUGCUAAAUGGCAAUAUAAAAUUCAUGUAAUACACUAAAUCCGAAUUGUCUAGACUCUGUGUUCAAUGUGUUGGUAGGCACAAAGGAUUCAAAAGGACUAUACUUAGAUUGACAAAUGAAAGGACUAGAGAAUAUGGACAUAGAUAGUUUCAUUUGGACUGACAAUACGACGCUCGGGUAAAUUGAGCAAUGAGAUAAACAUGGGAGCCUGCGAGAUACACUAAAAGUUAAUUAUCUAGAACUGUGGCUCAAAAUUUCCUUGAUGUAUGGACUCAUGUCCUUAAUUACGGUAUUGAUAAGGCAACCGGGGGGUUCUGAUAAAAUAGGUAUGUGGGAAAUUAUUUUCUUGCUUUCUAUCUGUCAGUCAUAUGUUGCUUCCUUUGCGUGAUUGGAACAUAUCCGACCUGGAAUGCAACAUAUGCAACUCUAUCUCUAUGCAUAUCCAUAUUUAUGAAAUUCUUUCUAUCUAUUAGCCAUAUGCUGUCCCCUCGGCGUGAUUGGAAGAUCUGACCUGGGACACUGCAUAUGCACUCUACUACCUCUUUAACCCCUAUCUAUUUUAGUCAUAUAUUGUUCCCUAUGUGUGAUUGGAAGACAUCCGACCUGGGAUACAACAUAACGCUCAUCAAACAUCUCAAUCAAAGUGGUCUUAACAUACUCAUACACCUCUAGAAUCGCCUCUCUGACUUCGAAAGUCACUUAAGUAGUCAUCAAUUCUCCGAUCGCAUCAUCACUCAAUCAUGACCUCUCUGAACCAUCAACACCCGAAGCAGAUCCUCUCAAAGCCAUCAUAUUGAAAAUAAACCGAGAACACGUCAGAAAAUCACAUUGUACGAUAACACACCACUACUCAACUACUCACUCCUUGGAACUUAGUAAAAAAGUCAACGGUCAAGGUCAAUAGUCAAAAACCAACUUAGCGGGGCACCACGUCAUGGCCAAGCAUCUGUCACGUCGUGGCAGUCUCACGAAAAAAUAGUCGCCAGAAACCCCUUUCACCACAAAGUGGUGAGCAUGUCGCAACGUCGUGGGAACUGUUCCUAUACAGCUUAAUGGAUUAAUUACUUAAUCCCUUAAUCCAUUAAGCCACUAACAUAUAUCUUCCAUAAGGCUUCCUUACACCCAAAUAUCUCAUAAAAAUGCUUGCUUUAUGGACAUGCAUGUCCAAUCCAUGUCUUGAAGUCUAGUUAUGCCAUAAUGGAGAAAACGAGGUCAAAACCUCAAUAUGGGACCAAAACUCUAUAAAAAUCCAGAUCUGAAACAUGAAACCACAAAGGAACCUUAAGGAUCCAGAAAGUUGCCAACUUUAUGGAAUCCAUCCACUCAAACCACCUUAAACAUGAUGAAAAGUACAUAAAAGCUUAUAUCUAAAAGGAUAUCACAUAAAGGUAGAAACUUAAGGACUUAUAAAAGUCCAAAAUGUAUGCAAGGAGGUCAGGAGGAGGUGUGCUUGCUGGAUAAGAAUACAUUCUUCUUCUUCUUUUCUUCUUCAAUACAACUAAAAACCACCAAAAAGCCUUAAGAUGCCAAAUGCGAGGUAAUGGAGGCUAGGCUUGCUUUAGGUCGAAUGUGAGGUGAUGGAGGUUGAGGGUGAGAAAACCAUAACCAUCACAUCCCUUAAAUGGAGUUUAAAACACGAAAAAUUUAGCUUUUGCAUGUUGGCCACUGCCACGUCGUGGCGUCCAAAAUGAUGUGCGUUCUCAAC